AUUGAACGCUAGCGGCAUGCCUUACACAUGCAAGUCGAACGGCGUGGCGAACGGGGGAGUAAUGUAUCGGAACGUGCCAAUGAGUGGGGGAUAACUACGCGAAAGCGUAGCUAAUACCACAUACUAUUGGAGCGGGCGAGAUCGGAGUAGCUAGUUGGUGGGGGAACGGCUCACCUAGGCGACGAUCCGUAGCCGGUCUGAGAGGAUGACCAGCCACACUGGGACGUAGACACGGCCCAGACUCCUACGGGAGGCAGCAGUGGGGAAUUUUGUACAAUGGGGGAAACCCUGAUCCAGCCAUCCCGCGUGUGCGAUGAAGGCUUUCGGGUUGUAAAGCACUUUUGGCAGGGAAGCGGUACCUGCAGAAUAAGCACCGGCUAACUACGUGCCAGCAGCCGCGGUAAUUC
rnacentral:rRNA from 1 species